UUAACCGACUUCAGAAAAGAUGGACACCUUUUCCCACGCUGUUUCGCUUCUGCCUCAACUUUGGUCCAGCUUUAGCCACCACACAGCGUGCGAGGGACUGCUGCUGCGGAAUCGGCCUCAUCUGUCCCUCCGCCUCCCACCAGCACAUGCUGCUUCUGAGAGACACCAGCUCCCUGCCUCCAAGCCUGCUACCACAGGCCUGUCGUGAGGGACCCCCGCUUCCGAGAGCUCCUGGGAGGGGGUUCUGCCCUUCACCUGGGAGAGGUGUCAGUUCAGUUCCGGGUUGAAGAGGCCCGUGCACACAGCAUGUUGGGGACCCAGCCUAAAGUUCUUGUCACCUCCUCAGGCAAAGCCAGCCAUCACUCUCCGGCCAGAUCCCCCAAACCUCAAGGUGGCCCCUUGACCAGCCCCUCCUUGGGGCCUCCAGGAGGACGGAGCACCCCUCCCAGCGGCAUCCCCUUGCCCUCCACAGGGCUGCCAGGGGCACGUCGCAGGGGCACCGUGGACUGAAACCAGCCCCUGGUGACAGAACGACCCGUUUGUUGGAAAUGCCUCGUUGCCAGAGGAACUCCCCAGGCAUCUCGGAAUGAAACUAUUUAGUUCCAUUGUGAACUGGCCACAGGACAGCUUUUUAUCAACUUAUUAAGUUGGAGCACUAUAAUAGCUCUUGCUGAUUUAGCAAUGGUAUAAGUGUGUGUUAAACACAUAAUGUUACAUUUUAUGAGGAGGUCGUAAGGAAGGGUCGUAUCACUCGACUCUUUUCUAUUAGUUGGGUGACAGUGGCCUCAUGUUUGUGUCUGUGUGUACACAGAGCCCUUGGGUUCUGCUCUGUUUCUUUGCCAGGUGAAUGUUUGUGGCAUGCGCUGCUGUCCACGCCCCUCUGUCCUGCACAGGGUUCAGCUGUGCGGUGCCCUGAUUUCUUCCAUGCUCAGAGAACCUCCUUGCGUCUGUUUCUCUGUUCCUCUGUGGCUGACUCAAUAAACUUUUUCCCUCUGACAUGAUGA